CCUCUGGGUCACCUGACCUGCUGGGUCACCUGACCUGUCGGGUCACCUGACCUGUCGGGUCACCUGACCUGCUGUGUCGCUCCCCCCCGUCAGCUCCGCCUCCCUUCCGUCCUAACUCCGCCGCCUUAAGAGUUAUGUCGUCUGAGACGCGGGGUGCUGCUACGAUAGGGCGUAGGGCGUAGGCUCUGGGUGCUGUCCCUUCCUCCCUCACUCGUGACGACAGCCAACCCCAACGCGGUCAUACACCACAUCUACCUCCACCCGCUGCAAUAUCACCGUCACACUAAGACCAAGGUGGGAAAUACAAUCAGCCUUCAGGGACGGAGGAGGAGGAGGAGGGGGGGGGGUAGAGAACAGGAUGUCUAAGUGCUUUCACGGCACACGUCCGUGGCCCUAGAAACUGACAAAGGUGUGUGUGUGUGUGUGUGUGUGUGUGUGUGUGUGUGUGUGUGUGUGUGUGUGUGUGUGUGUGUGGCCCCCAUAAUGUCACGUUGCAGACUCAAAGGAGGGGGACCAGCACCUGUGCCGUCGGUGGCAUUAAAGCGAAGGAGAGAGACGCCAGGAGGGAGGGGGGAGGAGGGGGGAGCUAAUCAGCACCUUGCCUCUCAGGGGCUCUGACUAAUGGCUGCUGGUCCGACGCCGUCACGGUAGCCAACUGCCGUCGCCUCCGAUGCAUUAGUACCUCGGCUGCGCUAGCACAGGUGUGACACAUUGGUGUGUGUGUGUGUGUGUGUGUGUGUGUGUCUUUUUCUUGUUAUCUAACACCACUAGAGAGGCUAUCUUCAUACAAAGGAGGGAGAGGGGGAGAGAGAGGGGGGGUGCUGUGUGCGUUAAAUAAAGCCACUCAACUGGGCUGAUUGACAUUUGUGCGUGUGUGUGUGUGUGUGUGUGUAUAUGUAUAUUUGAGUGUGUGUGUGUGUGUGGCCGAUGACGUCAUCCCGACACAGCAGCAGCAGCUGCUAACAGGCAGAGCCCGCUGCAGCAGCUGCUGAUCUGCUACAGAGGCUGACAGUGAGUCAGACACACACACACACACACACAACACACACACCCCUAUUCCCUGUUGUGUGUAUCAGUUCCAUCUCCUGGAGUCACAGAGGGGCUUUCACUGAGUCAGCACUAUGAGUCACACACACACACACACACACACACACACACACACACAAAAGUCUGCGUAAAUUGCAGGAGGCUAAAAUAUCUUUGAGUGGCACAUGUCACGCAUCGCGUUACUCUCCCUCCGUACCCCGGAAUAGCCGCGACGCUGCGCACACGGGAAGACGGACGGCCGCGAUUUGUCGGAACAAAGCGAUGCCUGCGUGUCAGACGGGGAUGACUGACGGGUUACACAACACUCAGCCUCCCCCCUUUUGUCUCCCCCGCCACCCUGAGGGGGUGAGUCACAUUUCGGCGAGGAACAUCAGAGGGGGAAGCUGUUUGUGGUGCACAUCGGCAGAACAGAAGGGAAGGACGUGUUGUGAUGUGCAGAGCAGUGACGCAUUAGAAAGGGAUCGCAGGGCCUAGGAACCGGGCCAGGAGACGGGAGGCACAGCUGAUGGAGGGGCGAGAGACAGAGGGAGAGGGAGGGAGAGAGGGAGGAGAGAGAGAGAGAGAGAGAGGGGGAGAGGGAGAGAGAGAGAGAGGGAGAGGGGAGAGAGAGAGAGAGAUAGAGAGAGGGAGAGGGAGGGAGAUGGAGGGAGAGAGGGAGGGAGAGAGAGAGAGGGGAGGGGAGAGGGAGAGAGAGACACGGAGGGACAGGGGGAGAGAGAGAGAGAGAGACACACACAGAGACAGAGGGACAGAGAGAGAGAGAGACAGAGGGAGAGAGAGAGAGGGAGAGAAGACAAAGCUGAUGGAGUGGUUGAGAGACGGAGAGAGAGAGAGAGAAGAAGAAAACAUGAUCAUUCAUAGAUUACAUUCGUUCCGCCAACGGGCGCCGACAUUAAACGGCGAGUCGGGACUUGUGACGGCGCAGGAAACGAGCGACAGAGAAAACGGGUUAAAAAAAAAAAAGAUAAUGUUAGUUUGGCAGUUAGUUAAAGGUCCCCUCAGCGUGUGAGAUUCGCUUCGUGACGUGAACGCAAGCGGGGGUGGUUCACUAAGGUACUGAAUAUAAGGUCUAUAACGGGCAUCAGCCGCCGUGUCCAUGGAUGCACACUCAACUUAAAGGGCCGGCGUAGUAGUAGUAGUAGGACCAUCGGGGUGUUCUCCUCCGGGGUGCGUAUUGCCGUAGGGUUGUGUGUGUCGAGUCCAGGCACACUUGCACUCUCAGGACUCCCCAGUCCAGUCCGGGAUGCGGUAAAACCCGGGGGCCUGGUCCCGGUCUGUCCCGCGCUUGGAGGAUCCUCGCAUCCAAGAGGAAGGCAGACCAUAAUUCACACCGCGAGACAGUGGACUGCCGUGUGUGUGUGUGUGUGUGUGUGUGUGUGUGUGUGUGUGUGUGUGUGUGUGUGUGUGUGUGUGUGUGUGUGUGUGUGUGUGUGUGUGUGUGUGUGUGUGUGUCUGCUCUUCGUUAUCUGCAUCCUCUCAGCAGAUCCUCCACUCCACUCCUUCCUCUCCUCUUUGUCCUCCUCCUCCUCCUCCUCCUCCUCCUCCUCCUCCUCCUCCUCUGCCGCAGCCCGGCGUUCAGACCUGGGGGGGGGGUGAGUCAGGCUGAGGACCCCCGUCCACUCGGACCACUGGAAAGGAGACACACACACGCACACACGUUUCAAUGUCAUGGACGCCACAGGGACAUACUGUUGGAGGGGCAGACGUUCGCCAGGGGGGCCGUGAUCAGGUACGGAGGUGUUUGGGUUUAUUUUGGUGUUGCUCGUUUCCUGUGAGCUGCUCCGUG
ensembl:lncRNA